UCCUCUCCUCUUUCUGUGUCUACUCCUUCUGCAGAACAACAGCUGCAGCUGAGACUCAGGUUCCUCUGAACAGGACUACCACCAGGGGAAGUGAGAGAAGAGAGAAGGAGGAAGGAGAUCUGUGUUAUGCCUCGUUGGAUAUCCGUCAGGGACAGAGGAGACCAAAGAAGAAGAAGAGAGUCCAGAACUCUGACUUCAGUACCUACACAGCCAUCAAUACCAGCAGAGUGUGAGACCUAUACCAUCCAUCAAUACCAGCAGAGUGAGAGAUCAAUACCAGCAGCUGGGAGGAAAAACAACAGUUUUUAUAUUUUUACGAGUUACUUAAUAUUUGGGGGGAUAUUUGUUUAACCUUUUAAAAUCAUUUCAUACAACUUUUGCC